UGGGGUAUCGCCAAGCGGUAAGGCACCGGCUUUUGAUACCGGCAUUCCCUGGUUCGAAUCCAGGUACCCCAGCCA
rnacentral:tRNA from 3 species